AAAAUUUUUUUUAAAGCGAGUUACGUUUUGCUCCUGGAAUAGUAAUAAGAGGGCUUGGGGUAGGGAGGGUGAGAAAGAGCCCCCACUUAUAUAACGACUUGAAAUUAGAUGGCUUUUGCUGGGGAGAUUCGGAGAUUUGCGCUUGCGCCAGGUCUGAGGUUGGUUAAAGAUCCUCAAACUUUUUCCCUUAAGAGCCAAUAAACAAACAGACGCCCCGGGAGCUGACUUAAACUCUAGUCGGGCCGGCGUUCGCUGCGAUUCUCAGACUCGGAGAAAUGCACACCCCUGCGGCGCUCGCAGGGAAGUCCCUCGGAAGCAGGGCGGGUCACUUUCGGAACUGGGACUCCGGCGUUCCCGGCGGAAAGGGAUCCCUAACCGCCACCCCCUGGCUCCCCUCGGGCGUUUUAGAGUAAAAGCCGGCCGGGAUCUCGCCGCCCUUCGCCGGCGGCCUCGGUGCGGUGAGCUUGCGUUCUGGGCGCGGCGUUCCUGCAGCUCUGCUACGCUGAGGAGCCCUGAGGAAUUCGGGAUCCAGGGGACGCUUCGGAAUCUCACGGGCAACCUGUCUGCGCCUCGCAUUCCUGCCGGGACCGACCCAUUUCCCCUCUAAGGGCAUCUCGACGCUUCAGCCUUUCCCGGUGCUUCUAUUUCUCCUGUGCACGGGCUUUGGUCUGGUGAGGAAGAGCAUCACUGGUCAGUCAGUCCUCAUUUGGAUUCCCAGCACAAAAAGUGUUCACUCUGCAUUGGUCCUUAGGGAUCUGUUUCUCCAGCCAACUCAUUCUACAGGCCAUCGACACUCAAAACACAUCCUCAACCACCAUUGGAUUGAACUGGCCUAGUACUAUCGAAUAGCAGGUUUGUAGUAAUCUGUGACAGAAGCCAUAGGAGACAAAUACUGUGGUAUCAAUGGCGCUGUUGAGGACAAGAAGCCUUGUAGAUGGAACCCAAGGGUUCUGGACCUGUGUGGACCAGUAACUCGGGGGUGAUGGAUGAUGGAUCCCCAGAAGAUGGCAGUGUGGACUGAAGACACAGAAGGAGCUGAAUUACUCUAGAUGAUUUCUGCCACAUUGGCUGAAUGGAAGCUUAAAAUACAAAUGAAAUUGGAUUAUAGACAUGAAAGACGCUUGAGUCUCGUAUGCCUGAGGAUCUUCCAUCAAUGGAAGCUUACUGUAUGUGACCUGGGGUUCUUCCACUCCGAAUAAUUCUUUGAAGAUUCCAGCAGGUUGUUGCCUGUAUCAAUAAUUGGUUUUUAUUCUGGAGCCGUAUUCUUUGUUAUGGAUGUGUUAUAGUUUAUUUAACCAUUUUCUUGUUAAGGGACACCUGGGGCUUUUCUAGUUUCUGGCUCUUCUGAAUAAAAAUGCUGCAAACA